rnacentral:rRNA from 1 species
GAUGAACGCUGACAGAAUGCUUAACACAUGCAAGUCAACUUGAAUUUGGGUUUUUAACUUAGGUUUGGGUGGCGGACGGGUGAGUAACGCGUAAAGAACUUGCCUCACAGCUAGGGACAACAUUUGGAAACGAAUGCUAAUACCUAAUAUUAUGAUAAUAGGGCAUCCUAUAAUUAUGAAAGCUAUAAGCGCUGUGAGAGAGCUUUGCGUCCCAUUAGCUAGUUGGAGAGGUAACGGCUCACCAAGGCGAUGAUGGGUAGCCGGCCUGAGAGGGUGAUCGGCCACAAGGGGACUGAGACACGGCCCGUACUCCGACGGGAGGCAGCAGUGGGGAAUAUUGGACAAUGGACCGAGAGUCUGAUCCAGCAAUUCUGUGUGCACGAUGAAGUUUUUCGGAAUGUAAAGUGCUUUCAGUUGGGAAGAAACAAAUGACGGUACCAACAGAAGAAGUGACGGCUAAAUACGUG